rnacentral:lncRNA from 1 species
GUGCUGAAAUGUUCCUCAGGAAAUUCUUUGAAUGUCUUUCUUUAUUGUGAAACUCGCCAAGCCUCUGUGCCUUUAAAUGAUUUCUGUGUUGUUCAUCUCUUCCUUUUUUUCGUUUUCUUUCCCUCUCCGAGCAUUUCCUGUGGGCCUCCUGGCUGCUGCUUCCUUUAGCCUCUCCGUCCUGCUCUGACUUCUCCUUUCUCCAGUCCCUCCCAGCUGGCAGCCCUUCAGAGCCGUAUCCCACAUUUUGCAGUCUGUUGGCCAAGCAUGGCCCCUCAUCUAUAAGGAUGACUCAAGUCCUGCUGCAGUAUCACCAGGAACACUCCUUGUCCCUUGUGAAGCAGUUAGCCUCCUUUAUCCAGGACAUCAACCAGAAAAGCACAGUCUACUUCUCCAAGCAAACGUGAACAUUUUCAGAGGAAAUCUGCUUACUCCAUGUUCUUCAUGCUUUGUAUGUCCUACUGCAUAGUUAGUGCCAUGAUUGGUAGAAAAAGACACAGCCUGGGGAGAAAGUCUGUAUGAGCAUCUGUAUCUUUUGUUAAUAAACAACUGUGUGGC